AAAAUCCCUCUAUAUAAAAUCAAGCAUGCACUCAUCGUCUUUGCCAACAGAAAGUGAUACUAAAACCUUGUUGGCUUUGCACCAUUUGAAAGCUCCAUUGGAUCGAAAUCUAAUCACCGACUUGAACAAGUUCCUUAUACCUUCAGCAUUAUUCAAUAGGUUCAAGUGCAAUAUAGACGAGAUAAUUACAAAGCAACGCCGGCUUCACUUGAUUUUCUAACCAAGACUGUUACCGUUGAUACAACCCAAAAUAUGAUAUAUCAUGGUGCAUACGCGGGAAUAGUUGGGUAUGAUCUAUCAGUUCAAGCAAAGCAAUACAACAUGUCUUACAUUUGGAUUGAAAGUGGAUUAGGAACACAACUAAAUAGCAUAAAAGUUGGAGUUGGGGCAGAUGGUUUUAAACGAACUGAAUUUUACAAUGCUAAUUGUCCGGAUUCUGUGCAAGUCAAUAAUAACAAAGAAUAUACUCUUGGAACUGCCAUGAGGCCCACUAAUUCAAUUGGAUCAACUGAAAAGUUGCUUCUUUUAUCAAAAUCAAACAGAAACUUGGCCAUCUCAAUCUUAAGGGCAUGCAAAGAAUUGUGUUUGAGGAGGCUAUCACAGGAUUGCCAAAAUUGAAGAUAGAGGAAGGAAAAAUUAGCGGUGAGUGUCAAAUUGGGAAACAAACAAAGAUGUCACAUCCAAAGCUGCAGUAUCAGACUACUUCUAGAGUUCUUGAACUUCUUCAUAUGGAUCUCAUGGGCCCCAUGCAGGUAGAAAGUCUUGGUUGUAAAAGGUAUGCAUAUGUGGUUUUAGAUGUCUAUUCAAGGUUUAACCUCUUUUCCAACUCGCCCCAACGAGUUCUAGCUCGCAAGGCGAGUUGUGACAAUCUAGGGACAUGCAAAACUGGUAUUUUAACUAAAAAAAAUCCUCCAAACCAAGUAUCCAAAUGCAUAAAUUAGUUCCAGCAACUAUAAAACACUGUAUUUUCAUGAUUCAAAGCAAGCAUUAUCAUGAAUUAGCAAGCUUGGGACAAAAAGGCCAACUAAUACCAUGUUCAUGAAAACCUACAAGAUUUGUUAUCUUACACAACAAUCACCAUAACCCCAAUGUGGGAACUAGCUAAAAGAACUCACCUAGAAGAUCUCUGCAAUUAGCUUCAAGCUCCAAGCUCAUCAAGCCAAAACCUUAACCUCUUCUUCAAGCCCAACUUUUAAUCAUCAAGCCACUAGAACAACUCCAAUGCCUUGCUUCUAUACAUCCAAAAAUGCAGAACAUGGCUUCAAUCUUCACACAUGAAACCACCAAUCACAACUCUAUUCUCCUAAACCCAUAACUAAGCAUGUAGCUCCAAACUCUUAUACCCAUGUUCUUAUAUUCAUGUUUUUCUUCAAGUCUUGCUUCUAACAAAACACAAAUCAUAAUCAACAAAUACAAUUUACAUGCAAGGCCAACACCACACACAUACAAUUUAAAUGCAUGUCCUUCUGGUAAAAACUUCAAUAAGCUGAUGAGUGGGAUGUUACCAAUGAUAUGAAAAAGUGCAAUGAAAUGCUGAUGAGAAUCCUUCAUUGAUAUUAAAGAGGCCAAAGGUUAUGGUAGAAAUCACAUCUCAUGAAUAAAUGAUCCAUGUCUUCAAGAGAACCACAAUUACCAAAACAAUUUUGAGCCUCAGUAGUAAUAAUCCUUCGCCUUGCCAAAUUAUCCUUAGUAAGAAGAAGGUUAUGAAGCAUGUAACUGCCUCCACCACAGGAAGCAUGUAACACAGGAAGCAUGUAAUUUCCAAACCAACGAUCCUCCCAAAUCAACCUACAAUACAAAUGAUGUUAGCAGCUCAACACACUCCCUCAUCUACUCCUCCUUGCAAGCAAACAACUGCCUCCACCACUUCCACACCUCCACAUGCACCCCUCCACCCUAGAGAACGCAUUAAACUACUGUUGUCAAUUUAUUUAUUAGUUAACUCAAAAAGCCUUAUGAACCUAACUUUAAAGGAAUACCAGUCAACCAAGGAUCCAGCCAAAUAUUUCCAGCAACCACCCUCCGUUUCUAACACCUACACCAUAUCUAAUCUUAUUUGAAUUCUGCCAUCACACCAAUCCUCUUCCUUCCCCAUAUCUCAAUCGCCUUAUUCCUCUCCAUAACGAGCACCUAACACCAUAUACCAUAGAAUUACCCAUUCCUCCAACACCUAUAGCAAUAUAAAAAAAGUUGUUGUUUUUUACCCUUUGGUUUUCAGAAAAAUGGGUUAUGAUUAAUCCGGAAUUCUGUCAUAAAGUGGACAAAAGUAACUUGGAGAUCACACUUUAGCAAGAUGGAAAGACUCGAUCAUAUGUUUGCUUCUACUAACGUGUAUAUAUAGGAAGAACAUAAAGGAAGAACACUUUCAAGUUUCACCUUCAGGUAUACCUCUCUUUCUCUUGUUUAUUAAUACCCAAAAUGAUUCUGAAGUUGGAACUUUGGUUACCCAGAUAACUUUAAUGAACACAAACAACCCCUCAAAUAACCCUUCAUUUAGUGAUUUUGAGAGCAAACUUUGGGUGGAUGAUGAUUGAAGAUUUUACUUCUAAAUUAGGGAAAUGGACGACGACGGACAACAUUUUUCUCCAUAUGAUGAUCAGAAUAAUACCGCUUUAUCUUUGAUCAUAUUUGCUGUUUCCAUUGGUCUUAUUCUAUUAGGAGUUUUUUGUUGGCUUUUAUAUGUAAUUAUAAAAAAUUGUAAGU